UUCAGAAUUAGUAAGAAUCAGGCUAGCUCCACUAUCUUGUGCAUUGGAUGCUCCAUCAACAUGUAGCAUCUAUACCGAUGAUAAGUCGACCUUGGAGGUUUCAAUUUGCUUUGAUUUGUAGUCAAAUUUAUCUUCAGGAUUAUCAUCGGAUAUAGUGCACUCGACAACAAAAUCGACUAAAAUUCAUACUUUCAUUGAGGGUCGUGGACGAUAUUGAAUAUUAAACUCACUGAGUUUUAUUGCCCACUUCUCCAUUUG
rnacentral:lncRNA from 1 species